AGGAGGCAGCAGUGGGGAAUGUUGCACAAUGGGCGGAAGCCUGAUGCAGCGACGCCGCGUGAGGGAUGACGGCCUUCGGGUUGUAAACCUCUUUCAGCAGGGAAGAAGCGUGAGUGACGGUACCUGCAGAAGAAGCACCGGCUAACUACGUGCCAGCAGCCGCGGUAAUACGUAGGGUGCGAGCGUUGUCCGGAAUUAUUGGGCGUAAAGAGCUCGUAGGCGGCUUGUCGCGUCGGAUGUGAAAGCCCGGGGCUUAACUCCGGGUCUGCAUUCGAUACGGGCAGGCUAGAGUUCGGUAGGGGAGAUCGGAAUUCCUGGUGUAGCGGUGAAAUGCGCAGAUAUCAGGAGGAACACCGGUGGCGAAGGCGGAUCUCUGGGCCGAUACUGACGCUGAGGAGCGAAAGCGUGGGGAGCGAACAGGAUUAGAUACCCGAGUAGUCAA
rnacentral:rRNA from 1 species